rnacentral:rRNA from 1 species
GCUCCACCGGAAAAAGAGGAGUGGCGAACGGGUGAGUAACACGUGGGUAACCUGCCCAUCAGAAGGGGAUAACACUUGGAAACAGGUGCUAAUACCGUAUAACAAUCGAAACCGCAUGGUUUUGAUUUGAAAGGCGCUUUCGGGUGUCGCUGAUGGAUGGACCCGCGGUGCAUUAGCUAGUUGGUGAGGUAACGGCUCACCAAGGCCACGAUGCAUAGCCGACCUGAGAGGGUGAUCGGCCACAUUGGGACUGAGACACGGCCCAAACUCCUACGGGAGGCAGCAGUAGGGAAUCUUCGGCAAUGGACGAAAGUCUGACCGAGCAACGCCGCGUGAGUGAAGAAGGUUUUCGGAUCGUAAAACUCUGUUGUUAGAGAAGAACAAGGAUGAGAGUAACUGUUCAUCCCUUGACGGUAUCUAACCAGAAAGCCACGGCUAACUACGUGCCAGCAGCCGCGGUAAUACGUAGGUGGCAAGCGUUGUCCGGAUUUAUUGGGCGUAAAGCGAGCGCAGGCGGUUUCUUAAGUCUGAUGUGAAAGCCCCCGGCUCAACCGGGGAGGGUCAUUGGAAACUGGGAGACUUGAGUGCAGAAGAGGAGAGUGGAAUUCCAUGUGUAGCGGUGAAAUGCGUAGAUAUAUGGAGGAACACCAGUGGCGAAGGCGGCUCUCUGGUCUGUAACUGACGCUGAGG